GAUGAACGCUAGCUACAGGCUUAACACAUGCAAGUCGAGGGGAAACGGCAUUGAGUGCUUGCACUCUUUGGACGUCGACCGGCGCACGGGUGAGUAACGCGUAUCCAACCUUCCCAUUACUGUGGGAUAACCUGCCGAAAGGCAGACUAAUACCGCAUAGUCUUCGAUGACGGCAUCAGAUUUGAAGUAAAGAUUUAUCGGUAAUGGAUGGGGAUGCGUCUGAUUAGCUUGUUGGCGGGGUAACGGCCCACCAAGGCGACGAUCAGUAGGGGUUUGAGAGGAAGGUCCCCCACAUUGGAACUGAGACACGGUCCAAACUCCUACGGGAGGCAGCAGUGAGGAAUAUUGGUCAAUGGACGGAAGUCUGAACCAGCCAAGUAGCGUGCAGGAUGCACGGCCCUAUGGGAUUGUAAACCGCUUUUGUAUGGGGAUAAAGU
rnacentral:rRNA from 1 species